GUUUUGGAAUGGGAAUGGCUGUUGGGAGCUCUGGCAGGACCAGCACCCAAACGCAACAGAGGGAAUCCUGGCGGAGCUGGAAAUCGCUGUCGCUCUGUCGGUGGAAUUCCUGGGAAAUGGAAAGCAGCAGAAGCAGCAAGAACAGAGUUGGAAGCAGGCUCCAGCCGGGAACGGUACA